UACAGAGGGUGCAAGCGUUAAUCGGAAUUACUGGGCGUAAAGAGUGCGAAGGUUGAAUAUUAAGUCAGAUGUGAAAACCCAGGGCUUAACCUUGGAAUUGCAUCUGAUACUGAUAAUCUAGAGUAUGGUAGAGGAUAGUGGAAUUUCCGGUGUAGCGGUGAAAUGCGUAGAUAUCGGAAGGAACACCAGUGGCGAAGGCGACUAUCUGGGCCGAUACUGACACUGAAGUACGAAAGCGUGGGUAGCGAACAGG
rnacentral:rRNA from 1 species